rnacentral:piRNA from 1 species
UGGACAAAGCAGGUGUUUGGAUGGACCUGG